UUCGCAAUGCCCGAAAGGGUGACGAAGCGACGCCGCGUGGGUGAGGAAGGCCCUCGGGUUGUAAAGCCCUGUCAGGAGUUAAGAAAUGUAAGUGUGCUAAUACCAUAUUUAUUUGACGAAGGCUCCAAAGGAAGCCACGGCUAACUCUGUGCCAGCAGCCGCGGUAAUACAGAGGUGGCAAGCGUUGUUCGGAAUUAUUGGGCGUAAAGAGCACGUAGGUGGGUUUGUAAGUCAGAUGUGAAAGCCUUCUGUUCAACGGGAGAAUUGCAUCUGAAACUACUGAUCUUGAGUGUAGGAGGGGAGAAUGGAACUUCUGGUGGAGCGGUGAAAUGCGUAGAUAUCAGAAGGAACGCCGGCGGCGAAAGCGAUUCUCUGGCCUAUUACUGACACUCAGUGUGCGAAAGCUAGGGGAGCAAACGGGAUUAGAUACCCCGGUAGUCCUAGCCGUAAACGAUGGGCACUAAGUAGAGGGGUUUUA
rnacentral:rRNA from 1 species